rnacentral:rRNA from 1 species
AUUGAACGCUGGCGGCAUGCCUUACACAUGCAAGUCGAACGGCAGCACGGGUGCUUGCACCUGGUGGCGAGUGGCGAACGGGUGAGUAAUACAUCGGAACAUGUCUUGUAGUGGGGGAUAGCCCGGCGAAAGCCGGAUUAAUACCGCAUACGAUCUACGGAUGAAAGCGGGGGACCUUCGGGCCUCGCGCUAUAGGGUUGGCCGAUGGCUGAUUAGCUAGUUGGUGGGGUAAAGGCCUACCAAGGCGACGAUCAGUAGCUGGUCUGAGAGGACGACCAGCCACACUGGGACUGAGACACGGCCCAGACUCCUACGGGAGGCAGCAGUGGGGAAUUUUGGACAAAGGGCGAAAGCCUGAUCCAGCAAUGCCGCGUGUGUGAAGAAGGCCUUCGGGUUGUAAAGCACUUUUGUCCGGAAAGAAAUCCUUGGCUCUAAUACAGUCGGGGGAUGACGGUACCGGAAGAAUAAGCACCGGCUAACUACGUG